rnacentral:hammerhead_ribozyme from 1 species
AUUCAGCUGACAAGUCUCAAAUAAGACGAAACACGCGUAUUAGAU